rnacentral:rRNA from 1 species
UACAGAGGUCCCAAGCGUUGUUCGGAUUCAUUGGGCGUAAAGGGUGCGUAGGUGGCGCUGUAAGUCGGGUGUGAAAUUUCGGAGCUUAACUCCGAACUGCAUUCGAUACUGCGGUGCUCGAGGACUGGAGAGGAGACUGGAAUCGAUGGUGUAGCAGUGAAAUGCGUAGAGAUCAUGAGGAAGACCAGUGGCGAAGGCGGGUCUCUGGCCGAUACUGACGCUGAGGAGCGAAAGCGUGGGGAGCGAACAGG